rnacentral:rRNA from 1 species
GUGCCAGCCGCCGCGGUAAUACGUAGGGUGCGAGCGUUGUCCGGAAUUACUGGGCGUAAAGAGCUCGUAGGUGGUUUGUCACGUUGUUCGUGAAAACUCACAGCUUAACUGUGGGCGUGCGGGCGAUACGGGCAGACUAGAGUACUGCAGGGGAGACUGGAAUUCCUGGUGUAGCGGUGGAAUGCGCAGAUAUCAGGAGGAACACCGGUGGCGAAGGCGGGUCUCUGGGCAGUAACUGACGCUGAGGAGCGAAAGCGUGGGGAGCGAACAGGAUUAGAUACCCUGGUAGUCCACGCCGUAAACGGUGGGUACUAGGUGUGGGUUCCUUUCUUGGGAUCCGUGCCGUAGUUAACGCAUUAAGUACCCCGCCUGGGGAGUACGGCCGCAAGGCUAAAAUCUCAAAGGAAUUGACGGGGGCCGCGCACAAGCGGCGGAGCAUGCGGAUUAAUUCGAUGCAACGCGAAGAACCUUACUUGGGUUUGACAUGCACAGGACGCCGG